rnacentral:lncRNA from 1 species
GGGGGUGCGCCCUGUGACGGAUUUUAGGCUUGAAAAGUCGGGGGCGGGGGAAUGUAACCAGGACUCUCCCAUCCAAGGCAUGCAGACUGGGGAAUGUUUCGGUGUACAAGAGAUGAAAUAGGGAUGGAGUGCCCCCCACGUUCUUUCUGCAAGUGCCUAUUUGUGAGUGUGUGUAUCUGGGAUUUUCAGUGCUUUACCGGGGCUCUUGUGCAGAGUGCACGGUGAAGGCUGCGAGCUACAGCCACAAGCUGUCUCCACCAUCAGAUGUGGCUUACCUGGUUCCUGAGUCAAUUCCAUCCAGGUAGGAGGAAUCCUAUCAGAAAGUAUGUGAGUGCGUUUGCAGAGUGCAUUCCUGUGGAGCCCCCUUAUCUCUGGCUGCAUCUGCUUCUGCAGGGAGAAAGUAUCCCUGCUGUGAGAGGUCUGGGAUCUGGAGUACAGAGGAUGGUGAAGCCAAGGCCUGAAGACCUUUCCUGCAAGGUCGCAGAGGAAGAGGCAGAAGAAGGACCAGAACCCAGCUCCCCUGACUCCCUAUCCAGUGCUCUUCUCAUAGAUUACAUUGCUUCAGCAUCCACCUGGCUAUUGCUCCAUCCAGGGGUUACAGGAGUCACUGACUGUUUUGGUUGCUUCUUGGUUGGAGGAUGUUGUGCCUCACCGAUGAGAGCCGGAAGCAAAGGUACCAGUUCUUAGAGGAAGCAUAGGAAUGUGUCCCUUCCUGCUCGGGUCUCUCAACUGAACUCAACCCUUCCUUGAUUGAUUGACAAGCAUGUUAUCUCUCAUAAUCCCUGCCCGGUAAGGGCUGAUGUCCCCAUUUUACAGAUGAGGAUAUUGGAGCUCAGAGAAGUGAAAUGAUUGCUGAAGGUCACACAGCCUGGCUUCAAGCCUCUCGGGCUCCAAAAGGCAUCUUCUGUUCUCUCCGUCAGGAAGCCUCUUUUGGAUGAUUAACUGAGAUUAAAAAUGAAAAGACACA